rnacentral:rRNA from 1 species
UAAUACAGAGGGUGCGAGCGUUGUUCGGAAUUAUUGGGCGUAAAGCGCUUGUAGGCGGCUUGUUAAGUCCUGUGUGAAAGCCCUAGGCUUAACCUAGGAAGUGCGCAGGAAACUGGCGAGCUUGAGUGCUGGAGAGGGUCGCGGAAUUCCCGGUGUAGAGGUGAAAUUCGUAGAUAUCGGGAGGAACACCAGUGGCGAAGGCGGCGACCUGGACAGACACUGACGCUGAGACGCGAAAGCGUGGGGAGCAAACAGGAUUAGAUACCCUGGUAGUCCACGCUGUAAACGAUGGGUGCUAGGUGUGGCGGGUUUUGACCCCUGCCGUGCCGCAGCUAACGCAAUAAGCACCCCGCCUGGGAAGUACGGCCGCAAGGCUA